ACACUGGAGCUGAAUGUCAACAUUAAAGAUGGAGAAGAUUGGGACAUCUGUUUCUCAUGCCUACUGAUAUGGAUACAUGUCACCAAGUACAGUAGGAAGAGAACUGGCCACCCCUUGAGGAGACCAUGUUGAGACAUUCUCUACAUCCAGAGAGCAGCUGGAAGAUCACAGAGCUAAGAGGUCUCACCACUGCCCACACUGUGAGAAGAUUUUGCCAUUUCUAUCAAAGCUAAAAAUACACCUAAAAAUACACACAGGAAAGAAUCUGUAUUCCUGCACUGACUGUGGGAAGAGCUUCACAACAUCAACUAAGCUAAAAGUUCAUCAGAGAACACACACGAGAGAGAAGCCUUAUUCCUGCUCUGACUGUGGGAAGAGUUUCUCUCGUCUGGGCAACGUAAAACUACAUGAACUUAUACACACAGGAGAGAAGCCUCAUCAGUUCUCUCAGACCAGCGAAGAUUAGAUUCUCCACUUAUUUAUCAUGUCAUUAAAUAAUUGGCAAUGUUGAAUUGGAUCAAAUGGAGAAAGCGUAGAGCACUUGAAAUCCUAUUUUCUCACUGUGAGAGAACAAUGCAGAGGAAAUGGGGCGUUUAUAGAAUGUCAGCCUCUCUUUACUGAUCAGUGUGCAUCUCGUCAGUUUUGGUGUGUUUUGUUUGCUUCUACUGUAAAGAUAUUGAGAUGACCUUGAAUUUGCUUUUAGGGUUGAAUAUCCUUUGUGAGACGUCUCACAAUGGAGUCUGAUGGUUGACUGGGUGGAACUGCUUCCCUCUGCAGGUUUCUGUGGGAAUGAGCUAGUAGACAACAUGCACUGAGUGUACAAAACAUUAAGGACACCUGCUCUUUCCAUGACAGACUGACCAGGUGAACCCAGGUGAAAGCUAUCAAUCCUUAAUGCUGUUUAUUUAUUAUGGAUCCCCAUUAGCUUUCAGCAGAAAACAAGAAACUGCAGUUGGAGUGGGCUAAGAAUUGAAAAGACUGGACACUGGAGGAUUUGAACAUCUUUGCCUGGUCUGAUGAAUCCCUGUUCCUGCUGUUUCAUGCUGAUGGUAGGACUAGGGUAUGGAAAAAAACAUAAUUCCAUGCAUUAAUGCUGUGUGUCAGCAUUGCAGGCUGGUGGUGGUUGUGUGAUGGUUUGUUUUCAUGGCACACAUUGGGCCUGUCAUGCCAAAUAAUGUCCCCCUCUACGCCACAAUGGGAUUCGAUAAACUUAGCGUCCGUUGCUAAACGAAUGGUGUGAUGACCUAAUGAUUAUAAUUUUGGAGAUCAUUACAGCCUAAAUUAUGUUCUUUUCAUCAUCGCUAUGCAAACAAAGCUGAUUUUCCCCAACAAUUUCGCCGUUUUAAAAGUUUUGUUUAGCUAAUCAAAUACAAACAUGAAUUCGUACUACUUUUUGGUACCUUGUUAACAUUACAACAUGAAAUCCACGUCUUACAUGUUGCUACAUUUCGGAAAUGACAAUAAACGCGUGUAAUCUGCUUGACACAUUAAAGUGACUUACCUUACAGAUCACAGUCAGCUCAUUUCCAUUUGAUUGUCUGGCUGUCCUGUUUUAUUUUAACUGUUAUUUUAAACUAGCCCUUGUGGUUGAAUAUGAAAUAUAUAUAUGUGUGUGUGUGUGUCUAUUGUAGGUCCUAGCAUACAACAAUGAAUAAUGUGGAACAAAUAAAUACCAUCAAAGGAUGCCUGGCAAUAUUUAAGAUUGUAAUACAUAAACUCUGAUCGUUUUUAUUUUCACAGAUGAUUUUUUUGUACACACAUGGCAGACAUAGUUAACUCUGGUGUGUGGAAUAAAGAGGUGGGUGCUGUGUGGUUGGGAGGUUCUGCCUGUCACUUGUUCUCAAAUAGGCAGUCUCGGAAGGGGGACUUGAAGAGGGAGACUGCGAAGUCCAGGCACUGCAGUGUUAGUAGUUUUUUAGUUCAUCUGUGUAUCUCACAUAUUAUAUGCCCAGUAUGAUAUGGUGUGCAAACUUUAUUAGCAGAUAAUGACAACAUGACAAUAACAGUAGCUUUAAAUGAUGUAAUGAGAUGGAUGGGAUGAGUGGGCAGAUUGUUGGGAAAUCAGAAGUCACUAGAUGCAGAAUUUCAUCUGGAGGGAGAGGUGAGAAAGAGUUAAAAGAUGAGGAAGGAGGCAGAAUCAAGAGAUGCUUGAUCAGGUGCUGUGGCUAAUUCUUCCUGUCACUUGUCCUCGACAGGCAGACAGUCUUAAAGAACAAUCAUGUUAAAUCAAUUGUUGUUUUGUGAUAUCAUUGAAGACGUUAGAACGGAAACAUUGUAACUUUAAGAGCUUUCACAAUGUAUAUGUCAGAGUUACAUCUAAAUGUUGUAAAACAUAUGAUUAAAUUGAACUAUUUGUGAAAAGAUUAAAUGUGAUUUUAGCCUU